ACUCACAACAGCCUGCCCGGCACCAAGUUCAUGCACAAGUACUAGCCUAGUCUGUUAACACUUUCAUAAUAUUAUGGGUAUAUUGAGAUACCAGGCUAGUACGUUACUAGCUGCGAUAACGUAUCUCUGGAUGGCGGACGGACGAUUUCUGAUAGAUGGUCGUCGUCAGAGCGGAGAGUAGUCCCGUGGACAGCUAUCUUCUAUCAGAAGGAGUCCACGUAUUUAUACAGAUACAGAGUUGUCAGGGUAAACAGCAGGGCAAUCCUCAGCUCCAAUUGAACAAAUCAACAACAACAGACAUGAAAGUCAAAACAAAAACAACACCAGUAGCAUUAAUGGCGAUAUGAAAUCAAGAGGAAAGACAUUGUGACCUCGUGAGUCAAAUUUCAAUUAUAGCUUCUUCUAUUACCAAAUGAAAACGAUUUUGAUGAUAUUGUGUCUGGCUCAAGUUAGUCAAAGUCUGUUUGGGCUUAAGGAGUGGUAACAUAUCUAAAUACAACGUUUUAGAAAUUUGUUCCAUUUCACAUUUUUUUCAAAUGAUUAUUUUUGAAAUUCUUUAACAUACCUUUUAAUCUCCUCGUCAAAGUUAUCACUGACUUUGAACAACUAGGCCCUUUUGGCGAUAACUUUGAAAAACAAAAGGUUUAUAAAGUGUUUUGAUUUAAUUAUCAAGAAAGCAUCACUCUUUCUGUUUUUCUCUUGAUGUAUAAGCAGCUGAUGCAUGUUAAUACAUCUAGGUUUCGGAUGUAUCACCUUAAAAUAAGAAUCCAUGAUAAGCGCAUAAUUAUUGAAAAUACAACAAAAUAUACGUCUUGUAAGGUUCAAAUAACCACCCUCAAAAAUGUACAUACAAACAAUUUUCACACAUAGUUUACCAAAUAAUUGAUUAAAAAAACAGUUGUAUCACUAACCUCGUGAAUUCUAAGUUAGAUAUACAUUUGAAAAAGAAAAACAAUCUUUCAACGGUUUAAUUUUGAAAAGUAAUUGGUGACCAGUUAUGGAGCCUCUAAGACGGAUAUUGCCAAAUAAACGGAUUAAA